rnacentral:rRNA from 1 species
UUUGUAAAUGGCCGCAGUAUUCUGACUGUGCUAAGGUAGCAUAAUCAUUAGUCUCUUAAUUAGAGGCUGGUAUGAAUGGUGAGACGAGAAAAAAGCUGUCUCUAAAAUAUUUGUUGAAUUUCAUUUUUAAGUGAAAAAGCUUAAAUGCGUUUGGGGGACGAUCAGACCCUUUGGAGCUUUAUUUCAUUAAAGUUUUAGGUUACUUUUUAUAACAAAAAUUAUGAUGAAAUUUUGUUGGGGCGACAGAAAGUUAAAAAGUACCACUUUCUUUAAAAAACAUGUAUAGAUGGAAAAUUGAUCCCUAAGGAGGGAUUAGAAGACUAAGUUACCCUAGGGAUAACAGCGUAAUCUUUUUGGAGAGUUCUUAUCGAUAAAAAGGUUUGCGACCUCGAUGUUGGAUUAAGAAAUUAGCAAGGUGCAGAAGUUUUGUUGGAAAGUCUGUUCGACUUU